rnacentral:rRNA from 1 species
GACGAACGCUGGCGGCGUGCCUAAUACAUGCAAGUAGAACGCUGAAGGAGGAGCUUGCUUCUCUGGAUGAGUUGCGAACGGGUGAGUAACGCGUAGGUAACCUGCCUGGUAGCGGGGGAUAACUAUUGGAAACGAUAGCUAAUACCGCAUAAUAGUAGAUGUUGCAUGACAUUUGCUUAAAAGGUGCAAUUGCAUCACUACCAGAUGGACCUGCGUUGUAUUAGCUAGUUGGUGAGGUAACGGCUCACCAAGGCGACGAUACAUAGCCGACCUGAGAGGGUGAUCGGCCACACUGGGACUGAGACACGGCCCAGACUCCUACGGGAGGCAGCAGUAGGGAAUCUUCGGCAAUGGACGGAAGUCUGACCGAGCAACGCCGCGUGAGUGAAGAAGGUUUUCGGAUCGUAAAGCUCUGUUGUAAGAAAAGAACGAGUGUGAGAGUGGAAAGUUCACACUGUGACGGUAUCUUACCAGAAAGGGACGGCUAACUACGUG